CCUACGGGAGACAGCAGUGAGGAAUAUUGGUCAAUGGACGAGAGUCUGAACCAGCCAAGUAGCGUGAAGGAUGACUGCCCUAUGGGUUGUAAACUUCUUUUAUAUGGGAAUAAAAUGUUCCACGUGUGGGAUUUUGUAUGUACCAUAUGAAUAAGGAUCGGCUAACUCCGUGCCAGCAGCCGCGGUAAUACGGAGGAUCCGAGCGUUAUCCGGAUUUAUGGGGUUUAAGGGGAGCGUAGGUGGAUUGUUAAGUCAGUUGUGAAAGUUUGCGGCUCAACCCCGGCGAGCCGUUGAAACUGACUGUCUUGAGAUGUCGAGAGGUAUGCGGAAUGCGCAGUGUAGCGGUGAAAUGCUUAGAUAUUGCGCAGAACUCCGAUUGCGAAGGCAGCAUACCGGCGGCGAUCUGACGCUGAGGCACGAAAGCGUGGGUAUCGAACAGGAUUAGAUACCCCUGUAGUC
rnacentral:rRNA from 1 species